AACAUCCUGAACUCAGUCCGGCAGCAACAGGAGCGGGAUGAACUGGGCUUCAACGAGCAGCAACGGACGCAGGAUGCUGAGAGGCUGAUGCUGCUGGAGAGGGUUCGUCAAGCGGAGAACACCAUCACCGGUCGGAUCAGCACCCUGCUGAUGGACAACAACAGGCAGGAAACAAAUGCAAAGUUUCUUCAAGCCAUGGAGCAGGAACGGUAAGUGGACCAAUGAUAUUUUUAAGUUCUCUUGCAUUACAUUUACCAGACUGAGACAGAUUUCAACGGUGGCAGGCAAACGGAAGCAUGUAGUCAUUGUCAGUUCACCACGGAGAAGAAGUACAGUAAAUAUAAUUUGUAGAAAUUUAGUUUGUAAACAUAGUGUCAUUAUUUGUAAAGGGGCCUUACCAUGAAAAACACACUUUUUGAGGUUUUAAAUGCAUUUUACUGUUCAUUCCUCUCGAUGAAGAACCCCAGAGCGGUAUUUUGAUCCGUUCA